UACGUGAGGGAGCAAGCGUUGUCCGGAAUCAUUGGGCGUAAAGCGCGCGUAGGUGGCCUCAUAAGUCCGCUGUGAAAGUCAAAGGCUCAACCUUUGAAAGCCGGUGGAUACUGUGAGGCUAGAGUACGGAAGAGGCGAGUGGAAUUCCUGGUGUAGCGGUGGAAUGCGCAGAUAUCAGGAGGAACACCAAUAGCGAAGGCAGCUCGCUGGGACGUUACUGACACUGAGGCGCGAAAGCGUGGGGAGCGAACAGG
rnacentral:rRNA from 1 species